UCCCUGGUGGCUCAGAUGGUAAAGAAUCUGCCUGCAAUGCAGGAGAGCUGGGUUCAAUCCCUGGUUUGGGAA
rfam:Ovis aries breed Texel chromosome 2, whole genome shotgun sequence.